GACGAACGCUGGCGGCGUGCUUAACACAUGCAAGUCGAACGGAAAGGCCUCUUUCGGGGGGUACUCGAGUGGCGAACGGGUGAGUAACACGUGAGCAACCUGCCCUUGACUUUGGGAUAACUUCAGGAAACUGGGGCUAAUACCGGAUAGGAGCUCCUGCUGCAUGGUGGGGGUUGGAAAGUUUCGGCGGUUGGGGAUGGACUCGCGGCUUAUCAGCUUGUUGGUGGGGUAGUGGCUUACCAAGACUUUGACGGGUAGCCGGCCUGAGAGGGUGACCGGCCACAUUGGGACUGAGAUACGGCCCAGACUCCUACGGGAGGCAGCAGUGGGGAAUAUUGCACAAUGGGUGGAAGCCUGAUGCAGCAACGCCGUGUGCGGGAUGACGGCCUUCGGGUUGUAAACCGCUUUCGCUCAUGACGAAGCUUUGUGUGACGGUAGUGGGUAAAGAAGCACCGGCUAACUACGUG
rnacentral:rRNA from 1 species